rnacentral:rRNA from 1 species
UGGGGAAUUUUGGACAAUGGGCGAAAGCCUGAUCCAGCAAUGCCGCGUGUGUGAAGAAGGCCUUCGGGUUGUAAAGCACUUUUGUCCGGAAAGAAAUCCUCUGGGUUAAUACCUCGGGGGGAUGACGGUACCGGAAGAAUAAGCACCGGCUAACUACGUGCCAGCAGCCGCGGUAAUACGUAGGGUGCAAGCGUUAAUCGGAAUUACUGGGCGUAAAGCGUGCGCAGGCGGUUUUGUAAGACGGAUGUGAAAAUCCCCGGGCUUAACCUGGGAACUGCAUUCGUGACUGCAAGGCUAGAGUAUGGCAGAGGGGGGUAGAAUUCCACGUGUAGCAGUGAAAUGCGUAGAGAUGUGGAGGAAUACCGAUGGCGAAGGCAGCCCCCUGGGCCAAUACUGACGCUCAUGCACGAAAGCGUGGGGAGCAAACAGGAUUAGAUACCCUGGUAGUCCACGCCCUAAACGAUGUCAACUAGUUGUUGGGGAUUCAUUUCCUUAGUAACGUAGCUAACGCGUGAAGUUGACCGCCUGGGGAGUACGGUCGCAAGAUUAAAACUCAAAUGAAUUGACGGGGUCAUAGCUGUUUCCU